rnacentral:rRNA from 1 species
CCAGACUCCUACGGGAGGCAGCAGUGGGGAAUAUUGCACAAUGGGGGGAACCCUGAUGCAGCGACGCCGCGUGGGCGAGGAAGUAUUUCGGUAUGUAAAGCCCUAUCGGCAGGGAAGAAGAAAUGACGGUACCUGAAUAAGAAGCCCCGGCUAACUACGUGCCAGCAGCCGCGGUAAUACGUAGGGGGCAAGCGUUAUCCGGAUUUACUGGGUGUAAAGGGAGCGUAGACGGCCAGGCAAGUCUGGAGUGAAAGCCCGGGGCUCAACCCCGGGACUGCUUUGGAAACUGCCAGGCUGGAGUGCUGGAGAGGCAAGCGGAAUUCCUAGUGUAGCGGUGAAAUGCGUAGAUAUUAGGAAGAACACCAGUGGCGAAGGCGGCUUGCUGGACAGUAACUGACGUUGAGGCUCGAAAGCGUGGGGAGCAAACAGGAUUAGAUACCCCAGUAAC